rnacentral:tRNA from 1 species
UAGGUUGUAGCUCAGUGGCAGAGCUCUUGUCUCGCAUGCAUGAGGCACUGGGUUCAAUCCUCAGCAUCACAU